rnacentral:rRNA from 1 species
GACGGAGGGUGCUAGCGUUGUUCGGAAUUACUGGGCGUAAAGGGCGCGUAGGCGGCCGCCCGCGUCGGAUGUGAAAGCCCGGGGCUCAACCCCGGAACUGCCUUUGAUACUGGGUGUCUGGAGUCCGGAAGAGGUGAGUGGAAUUCCGAGUGUAGAGGUGAAAUUCGUAGAUAUUCGGAGGAACACCAGUGGCGAAGGCGGCUCACUGGUCCGGUACUGACGCUGAGGUGCGAGAGCGUGGGGAGCAAACAGG